GCUAUAUCCGCUUUAGGGCACAAACCCAAAUCUUGAACCCUAAUCUUCAUCCUUGCUCAGAUUAGGUCAUUUCACAGAAUAGACUAUGGAUACUGCAGCAGACCGCAUGCAAAGCAGCACCUAUAAAUGUGUGUGUGUGUGUUUACCCCUUCACUACUUGACAACUGGUGUUAGUUUACAUCCACUAAACUUAGCGGUUCGGUAAAAGAGACUGACCGAUUUCUACAAUUAAACCUUUCAUGACGGUACGUCAGCAUUACCUGCAGUCCAAUGACUAAAACAAAAAAAAAUAAAAGAGAGAGAGAGAGAAUAAUAAGAAAGCAAGUUUCAUGAACGAGUCAUACAUUAACUCUUUUCUACAGCUGUUUCCACAGUUCGGAUACAAACAUCAUCAUUCAUAUAACUAUGUCUGAAGUAUAAAAAUACAUAAUCUAAAUUUGAUGGAUAAACCAUUUCACCAGGAGACAAACUUAGGUAUAUAAAUGAGAACAACAUUAUAGUUUGUUUGUUUUUUUUGUCACAUGUCUUUGGUCACAUCUUAAGAGAAGUGAAGGUCUACUUCUCUCCUACUAAGUUGUCAGUGAACUGCCAAACAGAGAACCUUGGCAAUCUACAUGAAGAGUACAGUGAGAGAUUUCACUAGGACAUUAAAGAAAUAGAACAAUGGUACCAGGGAAGGUGGAAUGUAAACAUGAUGGUAGAUUACUGCUGGACCCUAAAGAAAGACUGCAACUACCAAAAGCUGGAAGGAAAUCAAAGAAAAGGAAGUUUGAAAAGGAGUAAAAUUACUUUAAAGCCAUGAGAUAUCAACAUAUGUCGUCUAUAACGCAAACGUAUAUACACGAACGAAUACAUCCAACAUACAUUGAUUAGAGAGAGAGAGAGAGAGAGAGAGAGAAUCUAGU